UACAGAGGUCUCGAGCGUUAGGCGGAAUCACUGGGCUUAAAGCGUGUGUAGGUGGAUGCCUAAGUACCUUGUGAAAUCCCACGGCUUAACCGUGGAACUGCUUGGUAUACUGGGUGUCUUGAGUCACUCAGGGGCGAGCGGAACAAAUGGUGGAGCGGUGAAAUGCGUAGAUAUCAUUUGGAACGCCAACGGUGAAAACAGCUCGCUGGGGGUGCACUGACACUGAGACACGAAAGCCAGGGGAGCGAACGGG
rnacentral:rRNA from 1 species